rnacentral:rRNA from 1 species
UACGUAGGCAGCAAGCGUUGUUCGGAGUUACUGGGCGUAAAGCGCGUGUAGGCUGCUCUGCAAGUCGGAUGUGAAAGCCCUGGGCUCAACCUAGGAAGUGCACCCGAAACUGCGUAGCUAGAGUCCUGGAGAGGAAGGUGGAAUGCUUGGUGUAGAGGUGAAAUUCGUAGAUAUCUGGAGGAACACCGGUGGCGAAGGCGGCAUUCUGGACCGAUAUUGACGCUGAGGAGCGAAAGCCAGGGGAGCAAACGGG